rnacentral:lncRNA from 1 species
CUAGCGCAAAGAUUUGUUCCUCUAUCUUUAAAUCUAGAAUAAUGUAGCAUGCCCACAACGCUGCAAGCGCGAUUGAGUGAUAGGUGACUUGCAACAUAGUACCCGCCCUCUUCCGUACGUAGCCGAGGCUUUACCACACGC